GACGAACCGUGCGAACGUUAUUCGGAAUCAUUGGGCUUAAAGGGCGCGUAGGCGGCGGUGUAAGUUGGAAGUGAAAUCCCAUCGGCUCAACCGUGGAAUUGCUCCCAGUACUGCAUCGCUCGAGGGGGAUAGGGGUUUGCGGAACGUACCGGUGGAGCGGUGAAAUGUGUUGAUAUCGGUGGGAACGCCAGUGGCGAAAAGCGGCAAAACUUGACCCUUCCUGACGCUGAGGCGCGAAAAGCUAGGGGAGCAAACGGGG
rnacentral:rRNA from 1 species